GGCUGGGAAGUAGGAUGGAAGUAAGUUAGUUAUUGUUUUGUCCUUUUUCACUUAAAACCUAACCUAUAAGUGAUAUAUUUAAAAAUACCUAUAUCAAUAACUUAAUAGGCUAAUUAUAUUGAUUAUAUUGAUAGAUUACAUUGUGUGUAAUUGAUUAUAAUCAUAUUAAUAUGGUGAAUUGUUACGGUUGCAAGAAGGAGAUUAUUGUUCUUAUUCUGAAAUACUUUAAAACAAUAAAUUACUAUAACAAUAUAGCAAUUUAAAGAAUUCUUUAAAAGAAAUUAGAAUAAUUAUCAUUGAAGAAAUUGUUUAUUGUUUUCAAUCACAGGGCAUGUAAUAUAUUGAUAUAAUGGAAUAAAAUAUUGAAAUAAAAGCAUUGCAUAAAAUGAGAAAAAAGAACUACCUGAAAAGAAUAAGGUUUUUUCUUUGAAAAAUGUAAAAAUAGAUUUGGGUCCCUAGCAGGUAAGAAAGGCCUACAAAACAAACAUCUGAAUGUAUUUGUUGGUUGGGUAAAAUAUUUCUUUUAAAAGCAACAUCACUCUUGAUCUAUCCGCCGUUGUAGUUGUUUCAUUGUCUUAGCGUCUUCUUAUUUUUCUUAGUGUUCUUAUUAUUUUUCUUAGUGUUUUUUAGUACAUAGUUUAUUUAGUUUAUUUUUAUAGUUGUUAGAUUUUUGCGUUAGUUAGUGUUUCCUUAGAAUAGUUUUUAAGUUUAGUUGUAUAGCUUUUGGGUUUUAAAUAGAUUUAAAUUAACGUUAAAACGUGUUAAUUUACAAAGGUAAGUAAAACAUUUUUCACUAGUUCCCAUAAUAAUAGUGUAUGUAUAAACAUUUAUUGUUUUUGUUUAAUUAUUUUAAUUUAUUUUACAGUAUGGCUUGUUGUGUGCCAAAUUGUAAAAAUGUUCAGAGGUUACUUCCUCCAGAGAGUGAAAUAUCAUUUCACAGAUUACCUGAAGGCGAAAUGUUUAAGAAAUAUUUAUUGCUUAUUAGAAUGGAACAUUUGACAUGGAAAAGUUCAUUACGCAUUUGUUCAGCACAUUUCACUGAAGAAGAUUUCAUUGUAAAAGGUGGAAGAAAAUGUUUAGGUCCUAAUGCUCUACCUUUCCUUAAUAUUCCUGAGUCGGAUCAAAGAAUGGAAGAUUCUAUACUGCCGGAGAUGAGUAGUUCAAGUGGAGAUGGUAGUCGAAGAGGUUCUAAACGGUUAGUAAUAUUGAUUUUUUCUAAAAUUUUAUUCCAAUUAUCAUAUGCUUUUAA